CAUUAAAUAACUGAAAGUAAGUUUUGAUUUUUUAAAUCAACCAUAAUAGACUAACAACUAUUUUUAAUGA
rnacentral:tRNA from 1 species